rnacentral:rRNA from 1 species
AGUGAACGCUGGCGGUAGGCCUAACACAUGCAAGUCGAACGGCAGCACAGGAGAGCUUGCUCUCUGGGUGGCGAGUGGCGGACGGGUGAGGAAUACAUCGGAAUCUACUCUGUCGUGGGGGAUAACGUAGGGAAACUUACGCUAAUACCGCAUACGACCUACGGGUGCCCGCAGGGGACCUUCGGGCCUUGCGCGAUUGAAUGAGCCGAUGUCGGAUUAGCUAGUUGGCGGGGUAAAGGCCCACAAAGGCGACGAUCCGUAGCUGGUCUGAGAGGAUGAUCGGCCACACUGGAACUGAGACACGGUCCAGACUCCUACGGGAGGCAGCAGUGGGGAAUAUUGGACAAUGGGCGCAAGCCUGAUCCAGCCAUACCGCGUGGGUGAAGAAGGCCUUCGGGUUGUAAAGCCCUUUUGUUGGGAAAGAAAUCCAGCUGGCUAAUACCCGGUUGGGAUGACGGUACCCAAAGAAUAAGCACCGGCUAACUUCGUGCCAGCAGCCGCCGUAA